AUAACAGUAAAUACCAAAUAUUAAACAUUAUUGUGCAGCACGUAAUAUCGACAUUUUCUUAUCAUUCCUAACGUUAUACCAGUAUUAUGAACUGUAUGAUAUGGCCCAGCCCUACUUUUCAGUUUACUAAUUUUCAUCUGUUUGCAGUAAGACCAGCAAUAUUUCACCUGCAUUAAAUCACAAUCAUGUUUACAUUUCCCUUCUUGACUGGAACAUUUGGAUCAGUUUUAAAUCAUAUAACAAGCGAUUAAAUUACACAAGAUCAUGAGAAAAAUCAUGUUGACACCUCAUGACCCUGAUGAAGGCCACAAGCCGAAACGCGUUGGUCAAUUAUUAAAGUUGUUCAUCUUCCUUCAAGUGUUGCUGGAGUUGCUGCAUUGUGGCCUCUUUCACAGAAAGAAACCAAAACCUCAAACUUUUUAUCUCAUUAACUCUAGUGACCAAAUAUUUGGUGUAACAUUUGAAUUAGUUAUGACAUUGCAGAAGAAAACUGUUGUUUUCUUUCCAAAGCACAGGCUGAAUGAAUCUCAAAGCUUUCUUUUCCUGCAGUGUUUUUUUCUUUUUCUUUUAAGGUGACUUAUAUCAGAAAUAUUGAAACACACAAACAAAUAUGGCAGGAAAUUCUACCAGGUGCUGUUGAAUUCAUAUCAUGCUCUGCCUAAACCAGGACGGGGCAGGGAUGAAAUAUGCAGAAUAAAUCCUGAUCUGUGCACGUUGACAGUCCCGAUUGAAUCUCAGAUAUCUGAUGCUAAGAUGAGAGAAAAAUUAAGCAGCCACUUCCCUCCUAUUGCCACUGAACAUAAGCUAAAUUUAGCUCUCCUAUUUUUGGACCAUCACCCUCAAUAAAACACAUGAUGCCGUGCGGAGAUGAAAGAUCUGCUUCUGUCCUCAUUUAGGCCGCAGAUGCGCCCACACACUCAUACAUGAGCAUGAAUGAUCCAACCAGUGACUUCAUGCACCAGUUAGCUCAUCUUGCUGUCACAUGUUGCUAAUAGUAACAGCCCAGUUUCUCACAUUUGCCUUUCUUUCAUUUUUGAAUUACAGCAGGAUCUGCAGCACUGCACUUCAACACUGUUAACUGCUUUAACUGCCAAACAAGAUGUACUUUGAUAUACGUAAUCAGAUCAGAAACUGUAUAUGGCAGCCCACCCACUUCUCAACCAGUUCAAACAAAGAAAAAGCCACACUGAGAUCCUUUUAUGUUGAUAAUAUAAAUUCAAAAAGAAAAGGAGUGAAAAAACAAUCAAAUGUUUUCCACAAUAAUUAGAGCUGCAUAGAAAAUAAAUUAUCUCAUGGAGUAAUUGAUAUUCUGAUUUUCAGAUAUUAUAUCUGAUCCAGCAUCCAUAUGUUGUUGAUAAUCGUGAAAUGUUUUUGUUUUUUUUUUAAUCUAGUUAAAUAGCUAAAACAUCUGUUUUAAGUCUGCUCAAAUGAAUUAAAACUGACUAAUAAAUUCUAUUUUGCUAUAAACAGUAUGAGUGUACACAGUAAAUGCAUAAAGGCUAUGCAGUGUUUGCUGCUGAUGUUAGGAUUGCACCUAGACAUGACAGGCAAUGUAGCUUUUAUGCACAAUUGUAUAUUUAUUGCAAGUGAACUCUUUAGGAAUAUAUAUAAAAGUGGGAAUGAGUGAUAUUCCAGAUAAUUUGGGUAAUGAAUGCAUAUUAUAUUGAACCUUGAAUAAAUAGGCUACGGUAGCAGAAGACCACACUGGGUUUCACUGUUGUCAGCUAAGAACAGGAACAACAGCAAACUGAGGCUUCAAUUUGCACAGGCUGAGCAAAAUUAGACAACAGAAGACUGGAAAAACAUUGCCUGUUCUGAUGGGCCUCGAUUUCUGCCGUGACAUUCGGAUGGCAGGUACUGAAUAGGGUGUAGCAGUUAAGGUUGGUGGUGGUGUAAUGAUGUGGUCUAGGCACACUUUAGGCUCCUUAGCCAUUGUCCUUUCCAUUCUUUGCCAGUGUUUUUUUGAUCAAUUAAACUAAUUAAAUAGUGAUUAAAUGCCUCACAGAACUAUCUUAAUUGCUUGUUGUGAGUCAAGACAAAUUACGGUUGUCUUGACUCACAGCAGGACUAUAAUUUAAGACUGCUGUAGUAAAAGGAGGAUUGUGACUUCCAUCUGCACUAAUUUAAAUUCAGUGGUAUAGCUUUAUUCUGGGACACAUCUCUAAGAGCAGGAGCAAGACCCCCACCCCCCGAGGCUGGGGUGGAGAUAGCUUGUAAUGUAAAUUUUGCAGAUAUGCAGGAACUGUACACAAUCUGAAGCAGCUUAAAUAGCGCGCCCUAUAUGAGAUUUGCUAAUUGGAUGUGCGGAAGCUUAUCAGCUGAGGCGUCAGCUGAUGUGAUCUGGGAUUGAGAUCAGCUGAUCUGCCUGGAUUGUGACUGAGAUUGACCUCAUGAUCUGCCUGAAACAGUACUGUGCUCGGUUAAUAUAGAACAGAGAAAAGCAGGAAAUCCUCUCGUCUGCCAAACUGCAAUCAGUGACUGUUUCACAGUUUUUACUUGAUGAGAGAUUUCAGCAACGUUUCUGACACUUCCUGAAAUUGAUGGCCACAUCACGUUACCAUCUUUUAGAAAUGUUCUGCUUGUUUGGGUUGAGCUUGGCGCCUAUGCCAUCUGCAUGUCAGAAUCUAUUAAAUGCAUGCUGGGAACUGUCUCCAUCUCCUUUCUCUUCAGCCUGACCAUCCAUCUGUCCACCUAUUUGUAUCUGCAGUCUUUCCCCUCCUUCCUCUAAGAUCUCCCUCUUCCACUCGCCCUCUCAUUAGAGCUGCUGAAUUAUUUAACAUCAGACAGUGGGCUUGGCUGCUGAGCCAGAAGGAGAUGAAGAGGAGAGGAGGAAAAGCUGGAGAGACGGAGAAGCAUGGAGGUGUCCGAUACUGCGGGAAGUCGUGAGUCAGCAGGGAGAGAAAGGAGCAGUGGGAGGGAGGAGUGAAGGAGUUUAUAGAUAGCUUUAGGUGAUACGACAGGAGAGAGUGGCGUCAAAUGCCUCCCGGUGCGUUUGUGUCCGUGUUUGUGCAUGCGCGCAUCGAUUGAGCGGAGAAGGUCAUGGAGCUGAGAGGAGAUUAGCAAACUAGACUCGGAGUAGGGGGAGCGCGGCAGCAGAGCUAACGCCUCCUCUGAAUAGCGCAGAAACAGGAGGGCUCAAUACAAAAAGGACAAGAGGAGCUGUUUCAGUAUGGGGGAGAGCUAUAUGUACCAGCGACUCCCCUACACCAGAGGAGAGGGGGAGGGGGAGGAUGAAGAGGCGGGAGACAGGAGUGUCGGUGGACAAAUGAUGCAGUGUGAGGAGGGCACAGAGUGGCUGCUGGAGCUGCUGACAGAUGUGCAGCUGCAGCAGUACUUCCUGCGAAUCCGUGAUGAUCUCAACGUCACACGACUCUCACACUUUGACUACGUCAAGAAUGAAGACCUGGAGAAGAUCGGCAUGGGACGCCCAGGUCAGAGGAGGCUCUGGGAGGCAGUCAAGAGGAGACGAGCCCUUUAUAAAAGAAAAUCCUGGAUGAGCAAGGUGUUUCCAGUGAAACGACCGGACGCUGACACACAGCAGCCCCUCGGGGCAACGUCUGCCGCGGCCCCGGCCAGUAGUGAGUCGGGGGCCGCGCUCACCUGCCUGAUUAGAGAGUCGGAGCUUCAGCUGUUUGAGCGGCUUGGAGACGGGACAUUCGGGGUGGUGCGGCGAGGAGAGUGGACUGCACCCAACGGCAGAGUGUUGUCAGUGGCAGUAAAAUGCCUGAAAUCAAAUGUACUGGACUCAGACGGUCUGGAUGAUUUCAUCAGAGAGGUGAAUGCCAUGCAUUCACUGAGCCACCAAAACCUCAUCCGCCUGUAUGGCAUCGUCCUCACACAGCCUAUGAAGAUGGUGACUGAGCUGGCUCCUCUGGGCUCCCUGUUGGAUCGGCUCAGAAAGCGGCAGGGUCACAUCCUCAUCUCCUCGCUGUGUAACUAUGGCGUGCAGGUGGCCUGUGGGAUGGCUUACCUGGAGCAGAAGCGUUUCCUCCACAGGGACCUCGCAGCCCGUAAUGUGCUGCUGUCCACCAAUGAAACUGUGAAGAUCGGAGACUUUGGCCUAAUGAGGGCACUGCCUAAACACACCGACCAAUACGUCAUGGAGGAAGGCCACAAAAUCCCUUUCCCAUGGUGUGCUCCAGAGUCUCUGAAGUCUCGCACUUUCUCUCACGCAUCUGACACCUGGAUGUUUGGGGUCACCCUUUGGGAGAUGUUCACCCACGGACAGGAGCCGUGGCUGGGUCUGAAUGGGAGCCAGAUCCUUCACAAGGUGGACGUGGAAGCUGAGAGGCUGUGUAAACCAGACGAUUGUCCUCAGGAUAUCUACAAUGUGAUGCUGCAGUGCUGGAGCCCCAAACCUGAAGACAGACCAACUUUCAUUGCCCUCAGAGACUUCCUGCUCGAGACCAUGCCCACAGAUAUGAGAGCCCUGCAGGACUUUGAGGAGGAAGACAAGCUCCAGAUUACAAUGAAUGAUGUUAUCACCAUUAUUGAAGGAAGGGCAGAGCACUACUGGUGGCGAGGUCAGAACAGGCGCACACUGCGUGUCGGUCAGUUUCCCCGUCAUGUAGUGACGUCAGUCGCCGGUCUUUCCGCCCAGGACAUCAGCCGGCCACUUAAACACUCUUUUAUACACACUGGACAUGGAGACACAGACCCCCAGAGGAGCUGGGGACACGCAGACCGCAUAGACAGCCUGUACUUGGGGAACCCCAUGGACCCUCCUGAUGUCCUGGGAAUGGAUUCAGGCAUUGCGAGACCGACCAAACUUCCCAACCGUGCCAAGAAGCUACCUCCCCCUCGUCCACCCCAACCUGCCGUUCUGCUCAAGAAGCCGUUCUACGACUCUGUGAUGGACGAUUACGAUGACGAGGAAGACGCCAGCGCGUCGUCUGGGUUGAAGAAGCUGGGAGCAUCCCUAGGUCUGAAGCUUCGGCCGUGGGAGGGGACAGGCGUGCGUUCAGCCAAGAGCGAGGUGUCGCUUAUUGACUUCACCGAUGACAGUUUCAGCUCUACCACACCUUCUCCGCUCACUGAGUCUCGGCAGCUGGAUGAGGACACCCUAAAGGACACUCCCUCCAUUCUGGACUGGCCUCUCCCCCAGCCAGCGUACGAUGAAGUUACUGCAGAGGCUGAGGAUCAAUCAGAGGACCAGGAAGUGCGGUCCAUAUACAAAGGGUUGACUGAAGAAGCUUCUUCAUCCGCUGGUGGUGGCUUGACAGGAAGGAGCGAAUCCCAGUCAGCUGACCUCUUCCAGGAGCUACAGAGGGAGGUGAUGGUGAAGCUGCAGGUUCCAAUGGCAACAGGCCGCUCCCUCCCCUCCUCCCCACUUCCCAUGCCUCUGGCUCCUUUGGGCCAGCACCGACAGAUCCAUCUUCCCCCUCCAUCUCCCUCGUCUGCCUCCUCCUUUGCCUCCUGCUUUGAGGACAGGCCUGUGCUGCCUCCUCGCAGUCCCGUCCCUCCUCUGCGUCCCUCCAAACACAACCUCUCCGCCCGUGCCAUAAACCCAGAAGCAUGCACCAGCUCCAUUUCACUGGGCAACGAAGAUGACACACCCCCUCAGAUCCCACCCAGAGACCACGCCUUUUCUCAGCCAGGCUCCCGCUCCUCGUCACCUGUAGCAUUGCCACCUCCUCCUCUCGCCGUCUCGCCCCGUCGGGCAUCGGGACUGCUGGGUCCACUCCUGUCCUCCAACUCUCCAUCGUCGUCUUCCUCUUUGCCUCAAGCUUCAUCCCAUUCCUCACGCUUAGGACUUCCUGGCUCAUCGUACUCCUCCACGUCCUUACUGGAUCCACUCGCCUUUCGUGAGGGGCGUGGCCUUUCCUCACUGAUUGACAGUUCGCAGAGCUCUGCCCCCGUCCCACUGCCGGAGAGACCAGCUUUCCUGGAGAGAUACGGAGCAGCCAACAUGGCGGCAGUCAAACCUAUGAUGCAGCAGCACCCUAGUGGAGCCAAACCGAACACCUCCUACAACAACAAUAACGGCCGAGCUGCAGCUCCCAGCAUUCAACGGGAACAGAGCAUCACACAGGUCCAAGGAGCUGUGCACGGUGUCACGAUAGAGGAGUGUCAGGCUGCUCUGCAGAGCCACGAGUGGAGCAUCCCUCAGGCCAUAAACCAUUUAAAGGUGGAGCAGCUGUUUCGGCUGGGGCUGCGUUCAAGAGCCGAGUGCGAGGAGCUGCUGCAGCAUCACCAGUGGGACCUGGAACAUGCCAGCACGGUCAUGCUGGACACAUACGGACCACAUCGCAACAGGGGGCAGUGUCAAAAGUAUGUGGAACCGCUGAAUGUGGAAGAUUUUUGGAGCCAGAGUUGACUACACUGCAAAAAUUUAAAAAAAGGAAAACAUAACAGCACAAACGUGGUCAAGAGGAGGUCAGCAAGUCAUAUUCUGCUGUGGUGACAGCUAACAGAAAACCAGCAGCCUCGUAAAAAUCCAUCUGUCAUUCAUGCAUCCCCAAUAAAAAUGUGAGCAGGAAGUGAGAGCAGGAGGACAAAUUGAGCGGCAGUCACCUUCUGACAAGCUCCCGAGCUCAUCUGGAUCAGCGCGCUGACACCGAGUCGGCAGGAUGACUCAUUGCUCCAAAGACCAGAGAUGCUUUUUAAUGACCAUUAAAAGGCGUCUCUGAAGCAGCAUGUGUGAAUACCUGCUGCUACCUGUGUCACUCACAUGCAUGCUCACUAUAACCUAAAGGAGCAGCUGUUACAUGAUUCACAAUAUUUACUUGAACAGUUGUUAUUUAUCUUUUUUUUGGUUGUUCUUUUUUUUUAUCAUUGCAUUAAUCCAGAGUUUGUUUCAGCUGGUAGCUGCUGCAGACGUUUUCUGGUUGUGAGGUUGUUGUAGAGGCCUGUGUGUGUGUGUCUGCGUGCGUGUGUGUGCAUAAGCUUACUGUAAUGUCAAAUGGCUUUUUGCUGUCAAAAAGAAUCAGGGAGGUAUGAGCUGGCGUAUAGUUGCACUUUUAGGAAAAAUAUACAAUUAAUGUUGUAUAAAACAUUUUACCGAGCAUGUCAACAAAGAUGCUAACUGCUGGUCAGAAGAACAAUCUAUCAGUGAAGUGAAAAUGUUGAUAUGACUGAAGGCAUAUCAGAUAUUAUUAUUAUUACUGUAUUUUUGUGUCUUAAAGGGUCCACGUGGAGUUUUCGUGUAAAAAGGCAUUCAAAAGUCUUGAAACCUGCAUUCUUCACAUCCCAGCAUGUCGUCGUCUUUCCUGCUGUCGCUGGCAAAUUGCAAUGUGAAUCGUAAAAACUGCUUCAUAGUGCUUUGAGAGUUCAAGAACUCCACAGGUUGCCUUUAAGCAAAACAUUUCUGGCUUUACAACAGCAGGAAUUCUGAGUGAUGUCUUUAGUUUUUAUUAUAGGAAUAUUCCUACCUUUUCCUCGUGGAUACAGGGUAUUAGUCAAAUCUCUGCAAAUUAGAUAUCUACUGCUACUUUAAACUCAUGGUUAGUAUUUCUUACUGUGAUUCUGCUGUAUGAUAAUCAUCAUGCUGAAGAACCUGUCACGCACUUGAUUUAGUGGGCUACUGCUACGUGCUGUCGAUGCCAAAUUUCAUAAUGCGUGUGUGCAGAUAAUAAAAUUUUAACAGCUACAUGGAAAAGUUUCUUUUUUUUACAAAAAAACAAACAACAAAACUGGAAAAUUAAACUUCAGACAGGUGGUAGCAGCUUGGUGAAUAUGUUUAUAGCAGUCAUAACUCAGUAUGUGUGAAGCAUUCAGUUAAGUUCAACUAUGAAAUCUGUUUAAUGUGACACUGACUAUAAUGCAAAUAUGGCCUUCGUUGUUUUAUAAUAAACUGUAAUCUCAUUUCUGAAA